GGAGGGCAAGUCUGGUGCCAGCAGCCGCGGUAAUUCCAGCUCCAAUAGCGUAUAUUAAAGUUGUUGCAGUUAAAAAGCUCGUAGUUAAUUUUCUGUUAAUUUUUAUAUACAAUACUACGGUAUUUAUAUAAUAUUAACAUAAUUCAUAUUACUUUUUAGUAUAUGAAACUUUACUUUGAGAAAAUUAGAGUGCUUAAAGCAGGCUAUUGCCUUGAAUACUCCAGCAUGGAAUAAUAUUAAGGAUUUUUAUUCUUCUUAUUGGUUCUAGAAUAAAAAUAAUGAUUAAUAGGGACAGUUGGGGGCAUUUGUAUUUAACAGUCAGAGGUGAAAUUCUUAGAUUUGUUAAAGACAAACUACUGCGAAAGCAUUUGCCAAGGAUGUUUUCAUUAAUCAAGAACGAAAGUUAGGGGAUCGAAGACGAUCAGAUACCGUCGUAGUCUUAACCAUAAACUAUGCCAACUAGAGAUUGGAGGUUGUUCCUUACUCCUUCA
rnacentral:rRNA from 1 species